UACAGAGGUCUCUAGCGUUGUUCGGAUUUACUGGGCGUAAAGGGCGCGUAGGCGGCGCGGCGUGUCGAGUGUGAAAUCUCCGGGCUCAACCCGGAAAGUGCGCUCGAAACUGCCAUGCUAGAGUACGGGAUGGGGAAUCGGAAUGCAGGGUGUAGCGGUGAAAUGCGUUGAUAUCCUGCAGAACACCGGAGGCGAAGGCGGAUUCCUGGAACGUUACUGACGCUGAGGCGCGAAAGUCGGGGGAGCAAAC
rnacentral:rRNA from 1 species